rnacentral:rRNA from 1 species
GAUGAACGCUGGCGGCGUGCUUAACACAUGCAAGUCGAACGGUGAAAGAGAGCCUGCUCUCUGGAUCAGUGGCGAACGGGUGAGUAACACGUGAGCAAUCUGCCCCUGACUCUGGGAUAAGCGCUGGAAACGGCGUCUAAUACCGGAUACGAGCUGCGAAGGCAUCUUCAGCAGCUGGAAAGAACUUCGGUCAGGGAUGAGCUCGCGGCCUAUCAGCUUGUUGGUGAGGUAAUGGCUCACCAAGGCGUCGACGGGUAGCCGGCCUGGGAGGGUGACCGGCCACACUUGGACUGAGACACGGCCCAGACUCCUACGGGAGGCAGCAGUGGGGAAUAUUGCACAAUGGGCGCAAGCCUGAUGCAGCAACGCCGCGUGAGGGACGACGGCCUUCGGGUUGUAAACCUCUUUUAGCAGGGAAGAAGCGAAAGUGACGGUACCUGCAGAAAAAGCACCGGCUAACUACGUGCCAGCCGCCGCGGUAAGAC